GCCGAGGGCCCGUCCUCCCAUCAGGACCUGCCUUGGGAGGCAGGGACCUCGCUCCUGGGGGGAUCCGUGCCGAGGUGGGUCCAGGCAUCCUUGGAAUCCUGGAACCACUCCUCAGCACAGCCACCCCAACCAGUGCAAAUGGCAUCCCCCAAGACCAGGACAGCUCCGCCCAGCUCACCCCGGAGUCGCCCAUCCCUAGAACGAUGAACUCAGAUAUCAACUCUGGAAGGUCCCUGAUUGACAGAUGGGGAAACUGAGGGCAGCAACCCUCACGAGGUCGUCCCAGCUUGAACCCGAGCUGGUGCCUGGGAGCCCCGGACCCUCACUGUGCUGCCCAACCUGGGACGCCAAGGCCACAUGCUUCCCUGCUGUUAAGAGAUGGAAACAUCACAGGGAGGGGCCCUGCCCACCCGGGAUGCUGUAUGGAGGAAUAUGACGCCGGAAGAGGCGGCUGCCAUCUUGCACCCAGAGGAAGCAACCGGGUUCCCCACCCCAGAUCCCUGGGUUAACCCACCCUGGCCAUCUUCCUCUAGUCUUCUUGGCGAGUUCCCUCCGGCCAGGUCUCUGCAGCCAUGAGCCCUCCUGUGACCCACAUCCCACAUCAGCCCCAUGAAGGCGACCCCAUGAUGGUGCCCCCAUCAGCGCUGAUCAGGAGGAGCUCCAGGACCUGCCCGCUCUGCUUCUGAGCCCCCGUGGCUGCUCAGCCCAGCUCUUCCCGGAAGCCGCCCAAUCUACCAGGUGCAACCAUGUCCCUGUGAAUGCAGCUGGGUUGGGAAGGUGUAAGGCAGAGUGAAAGAAGCCAGACUCAAAAGACAUCUUAUUGUGGGAUCGUUUGGACAUGACAUUCUGGAAAAGGCAAAAUUAUAGAGACAGAAAACAGAUGCUCGGGAGCAGGGACUGAGGUGGGAAGGAACCUUCGGGGGUGAUGGGAACUCUUUAGGUCUUGAUGUUGGUAAUGGCUACAGGGCCCCACACAUCUGUCAAGACACACUGAACUGUACACCUGGAAAGAAUGAACUGCACUGUAUGUAAAUUACACCCCCAUUAACCUGACUUCAAAACACAGCAGGAUGCCCUUCUGGGAAGAGCCAGGCCCUCCCCACUCAAGAAGGAGUAACCCCAAUGUCUGCAAACUGGUUUUGAUCAAUGAACCUCUUCCUUAGAAUGAACUACCUGCAGUAACCUCAAUAUAAAAGAAAGCAAAGAUGCUUUCUCCUCCAACCCAAGAUGCCCCCAAGAAAUCAUGGGCUCCGGGGGACCUCGAAUGCUAGUGCCAGCCCUACCUCCUGCAGGUGAACCUGGGGGCCAGGGCUGGCUCGCCAGGCAUGGGGAGGGGACUCCACAUGGACACCCUGCCGGCAGGGGCCAUGGUGCGAGAGGGAGGUACACCACAGCAGAAGCAUCUCUGCUGUGGAAACACAGCCCUGUGUCCAUCAGCAGCCUCCCAGCCACGGUCCAGACGGGCGGUCAAGCAUGCAGGCUUCAGACGUGGACGCCGUACCUCCCACCCCCGGCUGGGAGACCCAGGCAAGUCACUCUGGCCUGUGUGCCCAGGUUCCCUCAAGUGUGACAUGGCCACAGCCCCUCCCUUGCUGGGCUUUCAGGACGGUUCCACGAGACGACAUAGGUGGAAAACGCAGCUUGCAUUUAACCCCACAUCCAGGCAGUGGCCGCCGCCGUCCUCGCUGUUACCCCUCGGUGCUGGGGGAGGGGAGGGCAAAGGCCCCAUGGGCGCCCCUCCCCCUGGCCUGAGCCGUUUCAUCUGGUUUGUAUCGAGGGGUCUCCAUGUGACUGGGUGUGAAAGGAGAGCUCUGAGGCUCGAUGAACUUUGAAAGCCCUGGUCCCCAAGGCCUUCCCGCUGUCGGCCUGAGACUCUGACCGCCCCUUGCCUCGGGCCUGGAAACAGGCCUAACGCUGUCCAGGCGCGCCCAUCAAAGCCCGUCUGUCGAGCACACAUUUUUCUGAGCGUUUGGAGGAUCUGGGAGGUCCUGCGAGGUGUCGAGGACGGAGGUCCUGGCUGGCCCUCCCCUGGGCCAGCAUCACCUCCUGAGAAGGGCCGCUCAAAGAGGGUUCAAUUUCCCAACCCGGGGAGGGCAUGUGUUUAAUUAAGAUCUAUAAAAACGUAGCCGGCAAAACGAGAGAACUAUUUCAUCUUUCACAGUCAAUCCGGGUGUGUGUCUUACCUGGAAAAAGUGGUUUAUGCAGAAAGAAUUUCCCAAAUGGGUUCCAUAUGCCUCACUCUCCCAAGCGGGGGCCUUCCACGGGGAAGGGGGCUGGGGCGGGGGGCUGAGACCGAGCCCCCUCCUCCUAGACGCUCGGCCUCAGCCCACACCCUCCAGCGGCUGCCGCUGUUUAAACAGAAGACGUCAUGGCCAGUGAUAUACGCUGGAUUCCAAAGAUGGUUCCAUCCAGGGGAGAUGGCUCCUGGAGCCGGCUCCAGCUCAGGUAAGCCACCCAGAAUGGCCAGGGUGUGACCCGGCUGACCCUCCCAAGGGCCUGACCCACAGGCGCCCCUUGUGCAGACCGUUUCUUGCCAGUUAUUCUGCAGCAGGUCAAGGCCGUGAGCACAGUCCUGAGAUGCUCAGGAUCCCGGAGGUGAAAGGCGCUAAGCACGUGCCUGGAUGCAUCCCCCCCCACAUACAAUGGGACGGGGGAGCCCCAGAGGGGACACAGCUAGUCCAAGACCACAGACCUGGUGAGCCCCAAAGAGUGUCAUCUUUUCAGAUUCCCCUUUGAAGGUCAAGACGCACCAGAAGGGACAUAGAGGGGAAAGGGGGAUGGGGGCUGUCCUUAACGCCACCCCUCCUACUGCCCCAGUGUCACCUCUUCCAAAGGGUCUGCUGCGGUGCCCCACCCCUCACAUGGCUCUCUAGCUUGUCCCACUGCGACAUGAUUUUACAUAUAUCAGCUCACUCAAAUACAUAUUUAUAGAUUUACCAGAACACUGGCUUUCCCCUUAUAUUAGGGCAGAUUCCCAGGAGGUCUGGGACUAUAUUUGUCUGGUUCGCUGUGGUUUCCUGUGCUGAGGACGGACCUUGGGAUGUAACAGGUGCUCAGUUCAUUGUCACCACCACCACCACCACCACCGUCACCACCACCACCACCACCACCGUCACCACCACCACCGUCACCACCACCACCGCCACCACCAGCACCGUCACAACCACCACUGCCACCACCACCACCGUCACCACCACCACCGCCACCACCACCACCAUCACCAGUGUCACCAUCACACUGCUAAUAACAGCUAACCCACAUUGAGCACCAACCAGACCCUGUGUCCGGUGUUUUGUGUGGAUUAACACAUUGCACCACCCCUCCAUCCGCACAGAGUGAGACUGUUACCACCCCAUUUCGCAGGUGAGGACACUAAGGCACAGGACUUUAGAAACUUGCCCAGAGUCAGACAGUUCACAAAGGUCAAAGCUGAGAUGCCCUUGAAUUGACAGAAAGAGCCCCUGUGCUGAUGAGCCAGCCCCUCUGAGUGGCGUGGGGGCAGCCCUCUGCCCUCACACUUUAUUGCAUCUUUGGGCACCUGACGAAGCAGCUUGCACUGUAAGAGGAAGAAAGCAGGGCUGGAGGAGGUCUGGCCCCUUGCCUGUAGUCAACACAUGGUGUAACUUCCAUUGACCACACAAUGCUGGUGACGAGAUUUCCCCUGCCGGGGUCUCAGGGGAGAUCCCCUGAGGGCUUAGGGCCUCCUGCCCGGCUGCCCCCGCCCCUGCCCCCCAGGCCUUCCUCAGUCUCUCUUGCACACACGUGGUGCUGACCCUGAAUCCCGUGGUCUCCCUCCAGCCCUGACGGACCCCGAUUUCUCUCUGAAGGGAGCGGCCCCCCCUCCUUGGCAGCUAAACCUGCAGGGGCCCCUAGGAGUGGGUUUCCCCCGACAGCCAUCCGCUCCUUCCCUCGCCCGGCAUCGCGCUGUUGACAACCUGUAGCCUCGGGAAUCAGCCGGCGGGACGGAAAAUUGGGAGGCGUCCUGGAGGACGCUUGUAAGAAGGCUAUGACUUCAGAAUUUGGGGGAGGGGGUGGAAGUCAGGCACUCAGCGGGGGCUCCUCAGAGAGAACCUCACUUAAGAUCUGAACGUCCGAACCGAACCGAAUGGAAUUUGUUCCCUCCGGCUCAACGGCCUCCCUUUCCCCAUCCAUACACAGCGGCCGCCUUUCUACCACCACGCGGUGCCCUGCCCAUGCCAGCCCCCCGGGUGUGGGGGCUGCACUGCAUGACUUCAGAUUGGUGCCUUUAAAUCUCAAAUGAUUCCAAGGACCCCUCAAGUAUUUGGAACAGAAGUGCAUGGUGAAGGUGUGUGGCGAGGUUUUAAAAACCAGUCCACUCUGGGGCCUUUGCUUCAGGAUUUCUGGGCAGACCGCCAGCUUCUCUUUCCAAUUAAACGCCCCAUUUGGCUGGCGGGUGGGCCCCUGCGCUGGAAGGGGGAGAUGGCUGCUACCCCCGCUGUCUGGAUGCAAUCUGGGGACAGAUUUCAUAAGUCGGGGGAAGGAAUGCACCUGAGAUCCCAUCGCAGCAGAAGUGUCCCCUCAGCAGCUCCCCGUAAAGGAGGAGAAUCUGUGUGUCCAGAUCCAGGAAGGACACGCUGGGUGAAGAGCGGGGUGAGGGGCCUAGGGAAGGGGGGACAAGGGUGACAACAGCUUCAGCCUAGGAGGGCAAGGGGAGCAUGGACCCCUCACUCAAGGCACCUCUCCACGGGCUGCUCUGGGUGACGUUUGGACCAAGACUAUAAUGCAUCCAUCAGAACAAAUAAUGCCAUGCAGAGCUCACGGCAGGCAAACUCUCCCUAUGUGAUCAGCACGGUGGCACAAGGACCCUAGGACGUAGAUGGGGAACCUGAGGUUCAGGAAGUUGAGUCGACAAGGUCGCAGGCUGGCUGGAGCCGGGGCUGGAUCCAAGCUGGAGAGAGAAGCCUCCCCCAGCCUUCAUCAGCUUUGGACCCCAUGGCCUCUACCAUGAAGGCCCUGGGGCCAGCCAGGGAAGAAGGCUGUGGAGCACGUGGGCGCACACACGCGUGCAAAUGCGCGUGGACUUUUGCACAUACGUGUACACGUUGGGAGGAGCCUGUAAAGAAAAAAAGAAAAAAACGUAAUGAAAUGACUCUGAGCAAAGCCAGGUGCCCAGAAAGGAAGCAGAAGGAAGAUGAAAGGCAAGAACGCAACCCCCGCCCGCCUCUAGAAACUUCCAACAGGAGGAGGCCUCCUGCUGGCUCCCAUUUGUGGACGCAAGGCCACCGGAGCUGCCACUGCCAUGCUGGGACUGCGUGGCUGAGGGGACACGUCCAGGGGGAGGCCGGUGACCCCAAGGCGGCUAUCUCAGCCUGCGAUCUCAUCACCAGAUGGGCCCUCUCUCGCACGCUCCCUAAAAAGCCGGAAAUCCAUCUGCAAGGCAGGACAAAUGGCCAUCCCUGCUUCUUCCAUCUGCCAGGACAUGUGAACACGGGCGCUGUGGCAGCGCCGGCUGAGGGAUUCUGGGUAUUUACAGCCAGCGAUCUCUUAUCAGCUGUGCCAUCGAGCCGUGAUGGGCUAGGCUGACCCUGCAUCUAUCCGAAUGUGCUGAUCCUUUGAGACUUGUCUAACCCUUUAAUGCAAGGCGACAGCAAUACUGUUUCCUGUCAGGCCCAAAGACACCACUGCCUGUUUUGCAAAGGACGCGUGCCCGACUUCCCGGCAAAUUGAAGACAACUGGGAAACGUCCACCUAUCCAUUCACAGGCCAAGGGCGCUGCGGGCUUCACCGUCCACUGGGAUUUCACCUCCAAGGCCCCAUCUCAGAUCAGAAGCUAUUAGGACGACCGGCCCAUCAGCAGCGGGGAGACAGCACAAGGUGGAGGAGCAGAAUUGCUCUUCUUGUCCCCGUUUGCUACUAAAGUGCUGUGUGACAUUGGCUAAGUCGCUUGCCCUCUCUGUUUCCCAUUUUGUUCGGCUGCACAACCAGCUCUUUGGUGCUGGGAUUUGGAGUUUAAACCUCCUCAGCCGGGUCUUCCAAACCCCUGACAACGCUCAGGCUUCUUCUCCCUCCCCCUGUGCCCCACGUUGCCCUGAAGGCCUUGCGGGUCCCAAACAGUGCCCCCAGCCAGCCCCUUGUCCUCCAUCCGCUACCCUGCUCCGAUCGCAGCUGAGAGAGGACCACCGGCCAGUUCCUCCUUCGCGGUGCAUCCCCAUUUUGCAGGUGGGAGGACGGUGGCUCAGGGAAGCAACGUGAGAAAGUGGUGAAGCCAACGUGAGCCCCGGACUCUGCUCUGCUGCAGACCCUGAGGGUCUCCUGAGUGGAGGGAGAGACCCCGGAGGCAGAGGCACGGCCAAGACAGCAUCUUGGCCCUGGACGGCGGCGGAAUACCAGCAGCACCUCGGCGGAGACCUCUGCACCCUGAGACUCGAAGAGGAGGUUCCAACCUGCAGGGAACAGCAUGGGCCCUUUCCAGGUGGAGACACAAGAGUGCAAGCUCCCAGGAGGAGGUCGGCCCCGAACCCCCAUCAUGACCUGGUCUCCAAGUGCCCCCCAACCCCCACCUCUAACAACUCCUGCCCCCACCCGGGGCAGCGCUGUAUGGCUAAAAGCAUCGUGUCCCUCUGUCUGUCUUUCCCUCUGUCUCUCCCUCUGUCUGUCUCUUUUUAGGGCUACACCUGCAGCAUAUGGAAGUUCACAGGCUAGGGGUUGAAUCAGAGCUACAGCUGCCGGUCUACACCACAGCAUGUGACAAUGCCAGAUCCUUAACCCACUGGAUGAGGCCAAGGAUCAAAUCUGCAUCCUCACAGAGACAAUAUCAGGUCCUUAACCCACUGAGCCACAGUACUCCCAAAGUGGCCCAAUUUUUGUCUCUUAGUAUUUUAUUUUAUUUUAUUUUAUUUUAUUUUAUUUUGUCUUUUUUAGGACUGCACCCACAGCACAUGGAAGUUCCCAGGCUAGGGGUCAAGAUGGAGCUGCAGCUGCCAGCUUACACCACACCCACAGCAAUGCCAGAUCCGAGCCGCAUCUGUGAGCUACAUGGAAGCUCAUGUCAAGGCCGGAUCCCCAACCCACUGAGUGAGGCCAGGGAUAGAACCCAUGUCCUCGUGGAUACUAGUUGGGCUCAUUACUGCUGAGCCACAGCAGGAACUCCUGCCUCUCUUUUAAACCUGAGUUUUCUAUAAAAGACUCCAUUCAAGGAAAAAUUUCUAUAGUACAUCAAUUUAAAUUAUUUUUCUUUAUGUUGGCAAACAACAGUCAAUUUACAAACGUGCCAACUUGCCAUAGUAACAGCGAAGUUUCUCAUAAUGGGUUUGCAGGGGGGCUCCUAAAAAGGCCAAGAGAAUACCUACCUUCCAGUCUCCGGCGGCAGCCCCCACAGCCUGGGGGCGGCUGGGCAGCUACACAGGUCACCAUGGAUACGCACUCUCCUUGACCACACCCCAUCCACCCAGUUUAAUGCGCACCUGCUAUGUGCCAGGCGCUGAGCAGGACGGAGACAGCCCUCCCACACGCCUCCCAUCUUCCCAGGCCGUGCUGGGAGCAUCACCACCCCCCGAGAUGCCUCUGACAUCCGGCAUCAGGUCCUGCGGCGGCCGGGGCACUGACUCCUCCAGCAGGACCAGAGCGCAGCCGCUAUCACUGGCCUGUUGUCUCCUUUCCACCUGCCCGUCCUACCAGUCCCUCCCAAAUUCUCCCGGUUCAUCUUCAGAGCCGGACUGCGUUCCUUAUCAGGGCCUCCCGCGGGAAGUCUGCUCGUGCGAGCAUCAGUGAUCUUGCUGGGCCAAGAUGGGCGGUUUCCAGCAAAAGUCCCCCCACACCUGUGCACCCCCACCACCAUCGUCCAAAACUGGACUUGCCUCUUGGGGGAUUUUUCCACCGGACUGGAGCACCACCUACGAGGGCAGUGAGCACAGAUGCGGUCGCUGCCUGUCCCCGUGCCUUGCACAGCCGAGGCAUCUUCAGCCAAUCCUUGUUCAAUGAAUAAAAGAGAACGCUUU
rnacentral:lncRNA from 1 species